rnacentral:tRNA from 1 species
GGGCUGGGGCUCAGUGGUAGGGCACUUGCCUGGCAUGUACGAGGCACUGGGUUCCAUUCUCAGCACCACA